UUAGUUUAAAUGUAUAAAAAAUAAUUCAUUUACAUUGAAAAGAUUAAUUUUUAAAUAAGAUUAAA
rnacentral:tRNA from 1 species